AAAACGGCAUUACUUCAUGUCUUCGCCAAAGACUCGUACCCAGAGAAUUAUGUCCCUACUGUCUUCGAGAACUACACGGCCAGUUUCGAGAUCGAGAAACAGAGGAUUGAGCUGAACAUGUGGGACACAUCAGACGAUCCUGCAGGUGAAGAAGCCGGAUGUGGAGGUCCUG